UUUAAAUUUAAAUUUCAAAUCUCAAAUUUUAAAUUUUAAAAUUCAAAAUUUCAAAUUUUAAAUUUUAAAUUUAAGACAAAAUUUAAAAUUUGAUAUUUUAGAUUUUAAAAUUUAAAUAUAAAAUUUUUAAUUUUUAAUUUUAAAAUUACAAGUUUUAAUCUUCAAAUUAUAAAUUUAAAAUUUUAGAUUUGAAAUUUGAAAAUUGAAAAUUGAAAAUUUAUAUUUAAAUUUUGAAAUUUAAAAUUUGAUAUAAAAAUUCAAAAUUUAAAUUUAUUUUUUAAAUUAAAAUAUUAAAUUUGAAACUUUUUUACAAAUUUUAAAAUAUAAAAUUUUAAUUUUAUUCAAAUUUAAAUUUAAAUUCUAAAUU
rnacentral:lncRNA from 1 species